CACGUAGGGCGCAAGCGUUGUCCGGAAUUAUUGGGCGUAAAGGGCGCGCAGGCGGCUGCUCAAGUCAGGCGUGAAAGGCCUGGGCUCAACCCGGGAAUUGCGCUUGAGACUGGGCUGGCUUGAGUGCGGGAGAGGAUGGUGGAAUUCCCAGUGUAGAGGUGAAAUUCGUAGAUAUUGGGAAGAACACCGGUGGCGAAGGCGGCCAUCUGGACCGCAACUGACGCUGAGGCGCGAAAGCGUGGGGAGCGAACAGG
rnacentral:rRNA from 1 species